rnacentral:rRNA from 1 species
GGAAAGCCUGACGGAGCAACGCCGCGUGAGGGAGGAAGGCUCUUGGGUUGUAAACCUCUUUUCUCAAGGAAGAUAAUGACGGUACUUGAGGAAACAGCAUCGGCUAACUCCGUGCCAGCAGCCGCGGUAAUACGGAGGAUGCAAGCGUUAUCCGGAAUAAUUGGGCGUAAAGCGUUCGUAGGUGGUGAUGUAAGUCUGCUGUUAAAGCGUGUAGCUUAACUACAUAUAGGCGGUGGAAACUACAUGACUAGAGUGCGUUCGGGGCAGAGGGAAUUCCUGGCGUAGCGGUGAAAUGCAUAGAUAUCAGGAAGAACACCGGUGGCGAAGGCGCUCUGCUAGGCCGUAACUGACACUGAGGGACGAAAGCUAGGGGAGCG